CCCAAAUACUCAAGAGGCUAAGAGGAUGGACCAUUCCUGUGCACUCGGAGACCACGGGGUGAUUUUCAUGUUGACUGUAGGAUUUCGAUUUCGGUUAAUAUUACUGCUGUCUAGAGAAUCUGUUGGAGUGAACUAGAAAGGAAAAGUGGAGUGUUUCAUUUGGGAACUGCAGAUGGCACGUCUCCCGUCAUCCUUUACAUAUCCCGUCAUCAUGACAGUGCCGAAGGCUUGAAAGUAGGUUCAGACACUUUGGUGGCAUAUUGAAUUUUGGUAAAGAUAGGUGUGAAGAGGAAGUGACCUAAGUUUCUGCAUGAGUAACAGAAUGGAUGGAGAUUUUGAAGACGAAAGGAAAAGAAAGAUUUGGCAGGUAAGAUUAAGUAUUCAGUUGGGGAUGUGUUAAAUUUGAAAUUUGUGUCAGACAUCCAAAUCACAAAAUCUGUUGGUUAUAUAAGGCUUGAUCUGAGUAGAUAAUGUUGGUUUAGAAAUAGAAAUUUUGGAAGUAGUGAAAUAUAAAUAGUAUUUAAAGCUGUGGGUACGUAUUGCAUACCUACUUUAUAAAAACUUCCUGUGUUCAAGGUUUCUACAUUCGUUAGGGGAAAAAAAAAAUAACAUGCUCAUAUAGAAAGUUAAUUUCACAGGGUGUCUCAAAGAUCACCCCCUAAAGUCUCCAUACAUAGGAAAAAUGGAAAACCGGAGCUGAAUGUACCUUUAUUGGCAAAGAAAUG